GGAGUCAGUCGUGUGAAUUGAUCGUUGCACAUGUAGCCGACCCAGCGGUGAUCGGGGGUAACCCCGGCGUCGAAGCCUGGGAAGGCGAACGCGCGAGCCGUAGCGAAAGCGAACUUGAUUCAGCCUCGUUACACAAGUCGAGGGCGGCCAGCCUAUCGGAUAUGAUGAAGCCAGCACUUGUCGGGAAGGAACGGUCAUAUGCACCGGCAAGGCCCUCCGGGGUAACAAGAGAC
rfam:Kiritimatiella glycovorans strain L21-Fru-AB chromosome, complete genome.